rnacentral:rRNA from 1 species
GCGGCGCGUUUUAAGCAUGCAAGUCGAGCGGUAAGCUAACUUCGGUUAGCCUAGAGCGGCGGACGGGUGAGUAACGCGUGGGCAACCUGCCCUAUACAAAGGGAUAGCCACUGGAAACGGUGAUUAAUACCUUAUAAGACUACAGAGACACAUGUCUCAGUAGUCAAAGCUCCGGCGGUAUAGGAUGGGCCCGCGUUUGAUUAGCUAGUUGGUGGGGUAAUGGCUCACCAAGGCGACGAUCAAUAGCCGACCUGAGAGGGUGAUC